GGAAACCACUAGAAUCGACUAGAAUGGAUGUUAAUUGUUCAAUUAACAACAGCUGAAUAAUAAGCAAGAGCAUGUAGACGUUGAUUCUUAUGAUUCCUAUUUGCCGCAUGCAAUCCCUGCAUUGCAAGACCCAUGACCUGAAAUGCAUAAUUAACCACCAAAAGACGGUGAUCAUCGCUUUCAAAAGUAGGUCAAUAAAUGAAAUAGAAGCGACACACCCUUUUUUGCCGGCUGCAUAAUCUCGUUUGAAGGUGAUUCAAGACAUCAGUUGUUCAAUUCAUCAAAAGUACGCAACACGAAACUAACAAAUGGAAUUUCUUUUGAUUUUAUUGGUUUACAUUUUCAUCGUUUAUUGAAAAGUUUCGAUUUCUUUUCGUAGUUUGUCAUCGCCACUUUCUUGGCUGUUGCUGCCGCUGCGCCUUCCAGCUACAAGCCGGAAUACAAAGCUCCUAGCUAUACUACCCCAAGCUACCCUGCACCAAAGUACCCUACUACUAGCUAACCUGCACCAGCUUACUCUACUCCCAGCUACAACAAGGAUAACAAAUAGGCUGAUAUCACCAUCACCAGCCAAUCUGACGAACGCAUCCUCGAUGGCAGCAGCCAAUGGAGCCAUUACGACAGGCCGAAUGCCGGUUGCAGGGUUCCGUAAUAGCGUAGUCAGAGGUAGUGGAACGUCACUAAAGCGUAGCAUAGGACGCACCAGAGGGAAACUCCACUCAUGGGAACCGUGAUGGUCUCGUGAGAUGCGAACGGCGGACCCACACCUGUACCACGAGAUGAACACCACGGCUCCAAUAGAAGGAGGCACACAUAUUUUUGCACGAAAACUGCGUUUGUAAGAAGUUGCGGGAGUCCCGCACAAUGAUGCGUUUUUACUUUUUUUUAUUAAUUUCCCAAAAAAUCAUUUAAUGAACUUUAUUUGAUUUUUUGUGCUGAUUCAGAAUAUAUGCAUAAUUUGUAAAUUGGUCAAUAACAUAUUUUGUUUUUUCACGAUAACUGAUGGUUCCUAUCUCUAAUGCAUGUGUUCGCUAUCCACUUGUUCCGUCAUAUUCACCGACUUUUUAUUUUAGAUUAUGGGUUUUUGUAGUCACACUAAUGUAACGGAACUGUCGAUUUGAACCAUCUAUGCUUAGAAAAAUAUUGAAACGCUCUGACACCUGAGCUAUUGAGCAUGUUUAAAUGAUGAAUAACGCAUAUUGGCCAGCAUAAUUUUGGACUUCUUUUGGAAUCUUGCGACGUAAUGAAAAUGGCGUGUGGUUUAUGAACAAUUUUCUUAAACGUUUGGCUUGAGCAUGUCGUCGGCUGACCAUUCUCGUACAAUCACGUCGCUUAUCCCGCUGAAGCAAGAGAUGAAAAUAAAAAACAUUGCAUUACAUGGCAAUCCGUAAAUCCUGUUAGACCAUCAUAUGAUUGUCUAGGAUACUACCACUCGAACCACUGCACCAAGCCGACAAUGAGUUCCUACUCCUAAUACGAAAUGCUAAUAAUUACCUUCAAAGCUGUAUCCGCUCGCCUGUUUCCUUUUUUGCUUUCCAGCAGUUCUUCUGUAGGAGGACUAUCACUCCCAAAAAAUGACGUCUUGAAGUAACAAUAAUGAUCCAUCGGUUGUCAUUUUCGCCACCAGGUGGCGUUUACCACGGCCGAGCGUCUGCUGUGUUUUCGAUGUGCUAGUGCAUUUUACUACAUUUUGCUAUUGAGGAAAUAUAUUUUUUAAAAUGGGUAAAUAGUUUUAUUUCCUUAGUUAAACCAAGCCGUCUUUUUGCUUGGAUCUAAAAAGAAAGUUCAAUAUCUUAUACGUGUCAUCAAACAAACUGUCGCCCUAGUAAAGUAAUAUAACAUAAUGCGAUGAAGGUUAAAGAGGUUUAAGCAAAGUCAAAAAUUUCCUACCGCUUCUAAUAUCUAAUGUUGUAUCUGCCUUAACUUCCAAGAGAUUUAAAGAAGUACGGACGAACGAAACGGGGAAAUUCCGGCAUAACAACACAACAACAACAUUUUUCCUUAUUAGGACUAUAUGCAGGAGCAUACCAAUUCCUUGGUCUGAAAUUGAAAUUCACACUUUGUAUGGUGCGAAAAACAGGGAAAGGGUAAGAAUAUUGAUCAUUAUGUCAUAAUGGAAAGGUAUAUCCACCGGGGAUGGUGAGAAACAUCAGGGUGCCACGAAAUUGUAUAAAAUUGUGCAACAGAGCCAACUAUAAUCAGUUGAGUGUCCAUCUACAACUUAACAAGAGAAUUUCAGUUGUUUACCAAUUACUGAAUUCUCUUGCUCGUUAACAUCAACAACUUCAGUUAGCCUUGCAACAAUAGGCAUCCAUGGCCUUACGCUUCUACUUACUAUUGCCCUUAUGACUGGGACAAGCAUAGGUGUGCCAAUGGGUUCACCGUCUUCUAGCUAUGGUGGUUAUUCAUACCAGAUAACCACUGCUGCGCCGUACUACACCACGAUGUAUUCGUUUCCUACUUACUACACCACGUAUGCAGUACCGACUUACUAUACGGAGGCCCCGAAAUACUACCCCGCGCCGAACUAUUACACAGAAGCGCCAGUGUAUUACAUUACAGCGUACGCUUCACCGUCUUACUACACUGAGGCCCCAAAAUAUUACGUAGCUCCAACCUACUUCACCGAAGCUGCCCCAUCUUACUACUCCUAGCCGACCAACUAUACUGAAGCCUCGAAGUACUACGCUGCCCCAAGUUACUACACCACGGCUGCUCCUUCAUAGUACAUGGAACCAGGUAAUAUGAAUCCUUUUGUUUUAUCAUUUGCAGUCCUCGUUUCAAAAUGAGUAUUUCCCUGUCAAAUAUUUAUGCGUUCACUAGUCGUCCCAUACGAAUGUGGUUUCUCAAUGAAAUGUUGAAUACAAAUAUAUAAUUAUCGACA